rnacentral:rRNA from 1 species
AGUGAACGCUGGCGGUAGGCCUAACACAUGCAAGUCGAACGGCAGCACAGUAAGAGCUUGCUCUUACGGGUGGCGAGUGGCGGACGGGUGAGGAAUACAUCGGAAUCUACUUUUUCGUGGGGGAUAACGUAGGGAAACUUACGCUAAUACCGUAUACGACCUACGGGUGAAAGCAGGGGAUCUUCGGACCUUGCGCGAUUGAAUGAGCUGAUGUCGGAUUAGCUAGUUGGCGGGGUAAAGGCCCACCAAGGCGACGAUCCGUAGCUGGUCUGAGAGGAUGAUCAGCCACACUGGAACUGAGACACGGUCCAGACUCCUACGGGAGGCAGCAGUGGGGAAUAUUGGACAAUGGGCGCAAGCCUGAUCCAGCCAUACCGCGUGGGUGAAGAAGGCCUUCGGGUUGUAAAGCCCUUUUGUUUGGAAAGAAAAGCAGCAGGUUAAUACCCCGCUGUUCUGACGGUACCCAAAGAAUAAGCACCGGCUAACUUCGUG